UGGCCGGCAGCUAGCUCUCUGCAACUCUCACAUGGUCGCCCACUGAAGCUAAGCAGGGCUGUGCCCGGUCAGUACCUGGAUGGGAGACCACAUGGGAAAGCUAGGUUGCCGGAAGU
rnacentral:rRNA from 1 species